rnacentral:rRNA from 1 species
CUGUGAGACAGGUGCUGCAUGGCUGUCGUCAGCUCGUGUUGUGAAAUGUUGGGUUAAGUCCCGCAACGAGCGCAACCCUUAUCCUUUGUUGCCAGCGGUCCGGCCGGGAACUCAAAGGAGACUGCCAGUGAUAAACUGGAGGAAGGUGGGGAUGACGUCAAGUCAUCAUGGCCCUUACGACCAGGGCUACACACGUGCUACAAUGGCGCAUACAAAGAGAAGCGACCUCGCGAGAGCAAGCGGACCUCAUAAAGUGCGUCGUAGUCCGGAUUGGAGUCUGCAACUCGACUCCAUGAAGUCGGAAUCGCUAGUAAUCGUGGAUCAGAAUGCCACGGUGAAUACGUUCCCGGGCCUUGUACACACCGCCCGUCACACCAUGGGAGUGGGUUGCAAAAGAAGUAGGUAGCUUAACCUUCGGGAGGGCGCUUACCACUUUGUGAUUCAUGACUGGGGUGAAGUCGUAACAAGGUAACCGUAGGGGAACCUGCGGUUGGAUCACCUC